rnacentral:snRNA from 1 species
GUCACUUUGGCAGCACAUAUACUAAAAUUGGAAUGAUACAGAGAAGAUUAGCAUGGCCCCUGUGAAUAUAGCACUACAUCAUAUCAUU